rnacentral:rRNA from 1 species
AUUGAACGCUGGCGGCGGGCCUAACACAUGCAAGUCGAACGAGUGGCGGACGGGUGAGUAAUGUCUGGGAAACUGCCUGAUGUAGGGGGAUAACGACUGGAAACGGUAGCUAAUACCGCAUACCAUCAGAUGGGGCCAGGUGGGAUUAGGUAGUUGGUGGGGUAACGGCUCACCAAGGCGACGAUACCUAGCUGGGCUGAGAGGAUGACCAGCCACACUGGAACUGAGACACGGUCCAGACUCCUACGGGAGGCAGCAGUUGGGAAUAUUGGACAAUGGGCGCAAGCCUGACACAGCCACGCCGCGUGAGUGAAGAAGGCUUUCGGGUUGUAAAGCUCUUUCAUCGGGGAGGCGUUACCCGCAGAAGAAGCACCGGCUAACUCCGUGCCAGCAGCCGCGGUAAUUC